rnacentral:rRNA from 1 species
CCUACGGGAGGCAGCAGUGAGGAAUAUUGGUCAAUGGGCGGAAGCCUGAACCAGCCAAGCCGCGUGAGGGAUGAAGGUACAGAGUAUCGUAAACCUCUUUUGUCAGGGAACAAAGGCGGGGACGCGUCCCCGGAUGAGUGUACCUGAAGAAAAAGCAUCGGCUAACUCCGUGCCAGCAGCCGCGGUAAUACGGAGGAUGCGAGCGUUAUCCGGAUUUAUUGGGUUUAAAGGGUGCGCAGGCGGGCUGUUAAGUCAGCGGUCAAAGCCCGGGGCUCAACCCCGGCCCGCCGUUGAAACUGGCAGUCUCGAGUUGGAGAGAAGUAUGCGGAAUGCGCGGUGUAGCGGUGAAAUGCAUAGAUAUCGCGCAGAACUCCGAUUGCGAAGGCAGCAUGCCGGCUCCACACUGACGCUGAGGCACGAAAGCGUGGGUAUCGAACAGGAUUAGAUACCCGGGUAGUC